UAGCAUAUCAUAAGCGGAGGAAAAGAAACCACAGGGAUUGCCCCAGUAACGGCGAGUGAAGCGGCAAAAGCUCAAAUUUGAAAUCUGGCCUCCUACGGGGGUCCGAGUUGUAAUUUGUAGAGGAUGCUUCGGGUGUGGCCGCCGUCUAAGUUCCUUGGAACAGGACGUCAGAGAGGGUGAGAAUCCCGUCUUGGGCGGCCGGUCCGCGCCCGUGUGAAGCUCCUUCGACGAGUCGAGUUGUUUGGGAAUGCAGCUCUAAGCGGGUGGUAAAUUUCAUCUAAAGCUAAAUACUGGUCGGAGACCGAUAGCGCACAAGUAGAGUGAUCGAAAGGUUAAAAGCACCUUGAAAAGGGAGUUAAACAGCACGUGAAAUUGUUGAAAGGGAAGCGCUUGCGGCCAGACUCGGGGGCGGGGUUCAGCGGGCGCUCGUCGCCCGUGCACUCCCCGUCUCCCGGGCCAGCAUCAGUUUCGACGGCCGGUCAAAGGCCUCCGGAAUGUGUCGUCUCUCGGGACGUCUUAUAGCCGGGGGUGCAAUGCGGCCCGUCGGGACUGAGGAACGCGCUUCGGCUCGGAUGCUGGCGUAAUGGCCGUAAGCGGCCCGUCUUGAAACACGGACCAAGGAGUCUAACAUCCACGCGAGUGUUCGGGUGUCAAACCCGUGCGCGCAGUGAAAGCGAACGGAGGUGGGAGCCUUAGGGCGCACCAUCGACCGAUCCUGAAGUCUUCGGAUGGAUUUGAGUAGGAGCGUGGCCGUUGGGACCCGAAAGAUGGUGAACUAUGCCUGAAUAGGGUGAAGCCAGAGGAAACUCUGGUGGAGGCUCGCAGCGGUUCUGACGUGCAAAUCGAUCGUCAAAUUUGGGCAUAGGGGCGAAAGACUAAUCGAACCAUCUAGUAGCUGGUGCUGCG
rnacentral:rRNA from 1 species